rnacentral:rRNA from 1 species
AACGAACGCUGGCGGCAUGCCUAACACAUGCAAGUCGAACGAGACCUUCGGGUCUAGUGGCGCACGGGUGCGUAACGCGUGGUAACCUGCCCUUAGGUUCGGAAUAACUCCCCGUAAGGUGUGCUAAUACCGGAUAAUGUCUUCGGACCAAAGAUUUAUCGCCUUUGGAUGGGCCCGCGUUGGAUUAGCUAGUUGGUAGGGUAAAAGCCUACCAAGGCGACGAUCCAUAGCUGGUCGGAGAGGAUGAUCAGCCACACUGGGACUGAGACACGGCCCAGACUCCUACGGGAGGCAGCAGUGGGGAAUAUUGGACAAUGGGCGAAAGCCUGAUCCAGCAAUGCCGCGUGAGUGAUGAAGGCCUUAGGGUUGUACAGCUCUUUUACCCGGGAUGAUAAUGACAGUACCGGGAGAAUAAGCUCCGGCUAACUCCGUG